GGAUAGCUCAGUUGGCUAGAGCGUGGUGCUGAUAACACCAAGGUUGCAGGUUCAGUCCCCAUAAGGGACA